AGCGGCGGACGGGUGAGUAAUGCUUGGGAAUGUGCCUUAUGGUGGGGGACAACAGUUGGAAACGACUGCUAAUACCGCAUAAUGUCUUCGGACCAAAGUGGGGGACCUUCGGGCCUCACGCCAUAAGAUCAGCCCAAGUGGGAUUAGCUAGUUGGUAAGGUAAUGGCUUACCAAGGCGACGAUCCCUAGCUGGUUUGAGAGGAUGAUCAGCCACACUGGGACUGAGACACGGCCCAGACUCCUACGGGAGGCAGCAGUGGGGAAUAUUGCACAAUGGGCGCAAGCCUGAUGCAGCCAUGCCGCGUGUGUGAAGAAGGCCUUCGGGUUGUAAAGCACUUUCAGUAAGGAGGAAAGGUUAAGUGUUAAUAGCACUUAGCUGUGACGUUACUUACAGAAGAAGCACCGGCUAACUCCGUGCCAGCAGCCGCGGUAAUACGGAGGGUGCGAGCGUUAAUCGGAAUUACUGGGCGUAAAGCGUACGCAGGCGGUUUGUUAAGCGAGAUGUGAAAGCCCCGGGCUCAACCUGGGAACUGCAUUUCGAACUGGCAAACUAGAGUGUGAUAGAGGGUGGUAGAAUUUCAGGUGUAGCGGUGAAAUGC
rnacentral:rRNA from 1 species